rnacentral:rRNA from 1 species
ACGUAGGCAGCGAGCGUUGUUCGGAGUUACUGGGCGUAAAGAGUGCGUAGGCGGUUUUCUAAGUUUGGUGUGAAAUCUCCCGGCUUAACUGGGAGGGUGCGCCGAAGACUGGAAGGCUUGAGUAUGGGAGAGGUAAGCGGAAUUCCUGGUGUAGCGGUGAAAUGCGCAGAUAUCAGGAGGAACACCGGCGGCGAAGGCGGCGCUCUGGGCCGGUACUGACGCUGAGGAGCGAAAGCGUGGGUAGCAAACAGGA